rnacentral:lncRNA from 1 species
AUCGAGCUGGGUAUGUUUGGAAACCUACAGAACAGUAGCCACAGAAAGACUAUGUGAGACAGAGUCCUAGCCUAUCUGUGCGGCCAGUCGAACCUCAUGUGUUUGCUGCUUUCAUUUCCCCUUGGCUCAGGAAACGAUGGUUUGGUUUUGCAAAGGAAGGCUGGGGACUUCUGCCAGCUUGCUAACAGCCUUGCCCCAUUCAGAUGCAUCGAACUCACAGAACAUCACUCCCCAGCUGCCGGCCCGCGGUUCGGAGAGUGCCUGAAUAGAAAACCACUCAUUUCCCUUCGCAAAAGAGGCGCCCAAAGCAGAUAUUUCAAUAUAUUCCAAUUUAGCCGAGGGAAGCCAGAACAUGGAUGUUGUUGCCAAGGAAACCACCUCGUCCUCCUGUGUGCUGUGCAUACGUGUAUCACUUCAUCUCUCUGCUCUCCAAGAUUGCUAGCAGCAGAGUCAACCUGAAGUUCUAACUACCCUGGUCAUAUAUUUGGCUGGCCAUGGCUGAUGAAGCAGAAAGGACAGGGCAGGAGUACUUGGCUGAUGUGUAGCCAGCAUGUCUUCUCAUGGUGGGUGUUGGUGGUCCCUUGAAUGCAGAUGUGGUUCCCUCCACCAAACUAGGGGUGUAAAGCCAGCUGGCAUCUAAGUCCCUUUGACUUGGUGGUCUCCUUACUUCAUGCAAGCUGCCUGGCCCAGUGGACUUUGCUCAUAUCUCCUGAGGACAAGGUCAUCGCUAGGGGACUGUGUACCCCUUUGCAGGCUCAUCUUGUGUUUCCCUGGCACUGCUUGUUUUCUGGCUUGGUAGUUACCAAAGUGAGUGUUUCCUUGAGACAUGGCUGAGGUGUGGUGCUCACCAACCUUCCAAGUGAACCCAGCCUUUGGGGAUCUGGCCCAGUUCAAACCCAUUCCUAGAAAACCCAGAAGUGGCUGUCUGUGGCCAUAAUACUGAAAGACUAAAGCUUUUUGUGAAAAGGAUGACCUCGAUUGUUUUCUUAAUGCACUGAAAGAUAAAUGAAUAUAAAUGACUGUCUUUUUUGUAUAUAUUAACCCAUUUUUGCCUGAGGUUGCAAUAUUUUGAAUUUUUGCAAACAGAUGUUGGCAUUGACCUUGAGCAAUAGGAUAUAAAUAACUCCCUCAUGCUUAGCUUUCCAAUAAUGUUUUAUACUGUUUUCCAUAAUGGCUGUACUAGUUCCAAUAAUGGAAUGCUAAGCAUACAUGGGAUAACCCCAUUUAUGGGGUAUGUGUGAUAUUUUGAUACAUGCAUACAAUGUGUAAUGAUCAAGUCAGGGUAUUUAGGAUAGCUAUCACCUCAAAUAUUUACCCUUUUUUGUUAGGAACAUUCCAGAUCUUCUCUUAUAGCUAUUUUGAGAUGUAUGCUAAAUUAUUGCUAACUCCAGUCACCUUACUGUGUCAUUGAACACUAGAACUUAAUUCCUCCAACUAUAUGUUGUACCCAUUUUCCAACAUCUCUUUAUUCCCUCUUUACCCAUCCUAGACUCUGAUAGCUAUCAUUCUAUGCUCCGCUUCCAUGAGAUCAACUUUUUUAGCUUUCACAUAUGAAUAAGAACAUGUGGUAUUUUUCUUUCUGUGCUUGGCUUAUUUCAUUAACUUAAUGACCUCCAAUCCAUAAUGCUGAAAACAAUACAAUUUCAUUUAUUUUUAUGGCCAAAUAGGAUUCCAUUGUGUGUAUGUGCUACAUUUUCUUUAUUUGUCCAUUGAUAGACACUUACGUUGAUUCCAUAUCUUGGCUAUUGUGUAUAAUGUUCCACUACACAUGAGUGUGCAGGUAUCCCUUUGAUGUAAUUUCCUUUCCUUUGGAUAAAUGCUCAGUACUGGGAUUGUGAAAUUGCAUGGUAGUUAUAGUUUUAGUUUUCUGAGGAAACUUUAUACUGUCUUCCAUAAUGGCUGUACGUGUGUACUCGUUUAUAUUCCCACCAGCAGUUCCCUUUUCUUUGUGUCCUUGGUAGCAUUUGUUAUUUUUUGUGUUCUUAUUAUAGCCAUUCUAAUUAGGAUGAGAUGAUAUUUUAUUGUGGUUUUGAUUUGCAUUUCCCUCUUGAUUAGUAAUGUUGAACAUUUUUUCAUAUACCUGUUGGCCACUCGUAUGUUUUCUUUUGAGAAAUGUUUAUUCAUGUCUCUUGCCCACUUUUUAAUAGGAUUAUUUGUUUUGGUGUUCAGUUGAGUUCUUUGUAUAUUCUAGACAUUAGUCGCUUGUUGGAUGCAUAGUUGUAAAUAUUUUCUCCAUUCUAUAAGUUAUCUGCUCACUCUCUUCUUGAUUGUUUCAUUUGGUGUUCAGAAGCUUUUAGCUUAAUGUAGUCCUAUUUGUCUAUUUUUGUUUUCGUUGCCUGUGCUUUUGAAGUCUUGGACAUAAAGUCUUUGUUAGACCAACGUCCUGAAAUUUUUCCCCUAUGUUUUCUUCUAGUAUCUGGUAGUUUUGAGUCUUACAUUUCAGUCAAUUCAUCUUGAGUUGAUUUUUGUAUGUGAUGAGAGAGAUGGGUCUCAUUCCCUCCUUCUGCAUAUGGAUAUCCAGUUUUCCCAGUACCAUUCAUUGAAGAGGGUGCCCUUUCCCCAGGGUAUGUUCUUGGUGCCUCUGUUGAAAAUCAGUUGGCUUUCAAUACAUGGAUUUAUUUCUGAAUUCUCCAUUCUGUUCCAUCAUUCUAUGCAUCUGUUUUUAUACCAAUGUCAUUCCAGUUUGGUUACCAUAGGCUUAGAAUAUAUUUUGAUGUCAGGAAGUAUAGUGCCUCCAGCUUUGUUCUUUUUGCUCAAUGUUGCUUUGGCUAUUUGGGGUCUUUUGCGGUUCCAUAUGAAUUUUUAUAUUUUGCAAAAACUUCUGUGAAGAAUGUCAUAGGCAUUUUUUUUUGAUGGUCAUUUUUUCUUUUUUCUUUUUUAUUGCAUUUUAGGUUUUGGGGUAUAUGUGCAGAAUGUACAAAAUAGUUGCAUAGCUACACACAUGGCAGUGUGUUUUGCUGCCUUCCUGCCCUUCAUCCACAUUUGGCAUUUCUCCUGAGGCUAUCCCUCCCCAUCCCCCCCCUGCUGUCCCUCCCCAUUCCCCCCAAUAGACCCCGAUGUGUAGUACUCCCUUCCCUGUGUCCAUGUGUUCUCAUUUUUCCUCACCUGCCUAUAAGUGAGAAUAUGUGGUAUUUCAUUUUCUGUUCUUGUGUCAGUUUGCUGAGGAUGAUGUUCUCCAAAUUCGACCAUGUCCCUACAAAGGACACGAACUCAUCGUUUUUGAUUGCUAUAUAGUAUUCCAUGGUGUAUAUGUGCCACAUUUUCCCAGUCCAGUCUAUCAUCGAUGGGCAUUUGGGUUGGUACCAGGUCUUUGCUAUUGUAAACAGUGCUGCAAUGAACAUUCAUGUGCAUGUGUCCUUAUAGUAGAACGAUUUAUAGUCCUUUGGAUAUAUACCCAGUAAUGGGAUUGCUGGGUCAAAUGGAAUUUCUAUUUCUAAGGCCUUGAGGAAUUGCCAUACUGUCUUCCACAAUGGUUGAACUAAUUUUCACUCCCACCAACAGUGUAAAAGUGUUCCUAUUUCUCCACAUUCUCUCCAGCAUCUGUUGUCUCCAGAUUUGUUAAUGAUCACCAUUCUAACAGGCAUGAGGUGGUAUCUCAGUGUGGUUUUGAUUUGCCUCUCUCUAAUGACCAGUGAUGAUGAGCAUUUUUUCAUAUGUUUGUUGGCCUCAUGUAUGUCUUCUUUUGUAAAGUGUCUGUUCAUAUCCUUUGCCCAAUUUUGAAUGGGCUUGUUUUUUUCCUGUAAAUCUGUUUGAGAUCUUUGUAAAUUCUGGAUAUCAGCCCUUUGUCAGAUGGGUAAACUGCAAAAUUUUUUUCCCAUUCUGUUGGUUGCCGAUUCACUCUAGUGACUGUUUCUUUUGACAUGCAGAAGCUGUGGAGUUUGAUUAGGUCCCAUUUGUUUAUUUUGGCUUUUGUUGCCAAUGCUUUUGGUGUUUUGGUCAUGAAGUCCUUGCCUACUCCUAUGUCCUGAAUGGUUUUGCCUAGAUUUUCUUCUAGGGUUUUUAUGGUGCCAGGUCUUAUGUUUAAGUCUUUAAUCCAUCUGGAGUUAAUUUUAGUGUAAGGUGUCAGGAAGGGGUCCAGUUUCUGCUUUCUGCACAUGGCUAGCCAGUUUUCCCAACACCAUUUAUUAAACAGGGAAUCCUUUCCCCAUUGCUUGUUUUUGUCAGAUUUAUCAAAGAUUGUAAUUGGUUGUAGAUAUGUUGUGUUGCCUCCGAUGCCUCUGUUCUGUUCCAUUGGUCGAUAUCUCUGUUUUGGUACCAGUACCAUGCUGUUUUGAUUACUGUAGCCUUGUAGUAUAGUUUGAAGUCCGGUAGUGUGAUGCCUCCCGCUGUGUUCUUUUUGCUUAGAAUUGACUUGGCUAUGCGGGCUCUCUUUAGGUUCCAUAUGAAGUUCAUGGUGGAUUUUUCCAGAUCUGUGAAGAAAGUCAAUGGUAGUUUGAUGGGGAUAGCAUCGAUUCUGUAAAUUACUUUGGGCAGUAUAGCCAUUUUCACGAUAUUGAUUCUUCCUAACCAUGAACAUGGAAUGUUUCUCCAUCUGUUUCUGUCCUCUCUUAUUUCGUUGAGCAGUGGUUUGUAGUUUUCCUUGAAGAGGUCCCUUACACUCUUUGUAAGUUGUAUUCCUAGGUAUUUUAUUGUUUUUGUAGCAAUUGUGAAUGGCAGUUCAUUCUUGAUUUGGCUCUCUUUAAGUCUGUUAUUGGUGUAGAGGAAUGCUUGUGAUUUUUGCACAUUGAUUUUAUAUGCUGAGACUUUGCUGAAGUUGCUUAUCAGUUUCAGGAGUUUUUGGGCUGAGGCGAUGGGGUCUUCUAGAUAUACUAUCAUGUCAUCUACAAAUAGAGACAAUUUGGCUUCCUCCUUUCCUAUUUGAAUACUCUUUAUUUCUUUUUCUUGCCUGAUUGUUCUGGCUAGAACUUCCAGUACUAUAUUGAAUAGGAGUGGUGAGAGAGGGCAUCCUUGUCUAGUGCCAGAUUUCAA